AGAGUUUGAUCAUGGCUCAGGACGAACGCUGGCGGCGUGCCUAACACAUGCAAGUCGAGCGGGGAUAUAUGCUGGAGCGCUUCGGUGUGAAGGGAUAUAUCCUAGCGGCGGACGGGUGAGUAACGCGUGGGGAACCUGCCCUUAAGUUCGGGAUACCAACUCGAAAGGGUUGUUAAUACCGGAUGUGCUGCAUUAGCCGCAUGGCGGAUGUAGUAAAGGGGAGACCCGCUUAAGGAUGGCCCUGCGUUCCAUUAGCUAGUUGGUGGGGUAACGGCCUACCAAGGCGACGAUGGAUAGCCGGCCUGAGAGGGCGACCGGCCACACUGGGACUGAGACACGGCCCAGACUCCUACGGGGGGCAGCAGUGGGGAAUCUUGCACAAUGGGCGGAAGCCUGAUGCAGCGACGCCGCGUGAGGGACGAAGGUCUUCGGAUCGUAAACCUCUGUCCAGAGGGAAGAAGGAAGUGACGGUACCUUUGGAGGAAGCCCCGGCUAACUACGUGCCAGCAGCCGCGGUAAUACGUAGGGGGCGAGCGUUGUCCGGAAUUAUUGGGCGUAAAGGGCGCGUAGGCGGUGACACAAGUCAGGUGAUAAAGGCACGGGCUCAACCGGUGUUAGGCACUUGAAACUGUGUUGCUAGAGUGCAGGAGAGGGGAGUGGAAUUCCAGGUGUAGCGGUGAAAUGCGUAGAUAUCUGGAAGAACACCAGUGGCGAAGGCGGCUCUCUGGACUGUAACUGACGCUGAGGCGCGAAAGCUGGGGGAGCAAACAGGAUUAGAUACCCUGGUAGUCCCAGCCGUAAACGAUGAACACUAGGUGUAGGGGGUAUCGACCCCCCCUGUGCCGGAGCUAACGCAAUAAGUGUUCCGCCUGGGGAGUACGGCCGCAAGGUUGAAACUUAAAUGAAUUGACGG
rnacentral:rRNA from 1 species